ensembl:lncRNA
UGGGUCAAAUGUAACAACCCAUUGUUUGGGUUGUUUUGCAGCUCCUGGGUCAAAUGUAACAACCCGAUGUUUGGGUAGUUUUUGUAUUACUCAAAUCUUGGCUCAGACGUUAUUUAUCGUAGGGAUUUGCUUCUCUUCUGGAGAGAGCAGUUCUUAGCGCCAUCGAAUUGAUGUAUUCGUAGUUAAAAUACAGCAACACAUCUCAGUUAAAAGGAUUGUCGGACAGGACAGCUAUUGUUUUCUCAAACCUCAAACCUUGAAAUUGAUCAGAAACACAAAAACAUCAUACAGGUGUCUCACUACUCCUGCUGGAACCAAGAAGGGCAGAGGAAAGCACAGGGAAAGUAAAGGUUAAAACCUCUCCAUACUAAAGGUCAGUAUUAAACACAUAAAAUCCUAUGUCUGUUUGAUCUUUUUAAUUGUUAUAUACACCAUAAUUAAGUUGUGAGGCCCUUUAGACAAGAAAUCUGCCUUUAAAUAUAACAGUGCUUCUAGGCCUUUCUGUUGACUCAAAUAGAAACCAUCAAACAAAGAGCUCUCUUUGUUAAACAAAGAGCUCCAGGGUUGAACCUGGAUCACAUUACUGAAACUGUUGGAUCACAUAACUGAAACUGUAUAUUACUGUUAAAACAGAAAUUAAAAUUCUUAAAUUCCACAAUUUUCAAGAAUAAAGUAAUGCUUAAGAUACUUCUA